GUAAACCUGUGUGUGUUAGCCAAUAGUAGCUUGCUCUGCCCGUGGACCCUGUAGAACCCUAUAAAAGGUGUGCUAAAGAUAGAAAUAAACGGUGUUCACGUUUACUUCUGUGAAGGCUGGUGAAUAAACUGGCAGUCUCUCAAUAGGUUGGUUGUAUUUAAAAUGCUCACAAGAAAUAACGAAACUGGAGACAUACUGAUUAUAGCAAUAGUGGGUCCCAAAUGUGCACCUAUUACUUCUGUAGUUAACACUAGAGCCCAAAUUUCUAUGUUGACCAAUACAGACUAGUACAGGAUUUGAGAACAAUAGUGGAAUAACCAAAGAUAUUUACCCAGUGGUAGCUAAUCUUUGCACACUGUUAACAUCCGUAAAAGAGAAAUAGAAAUGGUUUACUGUAAUUGAUUUAAAAGAUGCCUUUUUCUGCAUACCCCUUGACAAAGAAAGUAGGAAACUGUUUGCCUUUGAAUGGGAAAGUCUAGAAAAUGGAAGGAAAACUCAGCUCACCUGAACACGACUCCCACAAAGAUACAAGAACAGUCCAACACUAUUUGGAAGUCAGCUGGCAAAGGAGCUGGAGAUUUGGACCGAGAAUGGGCAAGUAUGGAGAGAACAAUACCUGCUGUUACAGUAUGUUGAUGAUACACUGACAACUACAGAAGAGAAAACUACACCUGCAUAAAGAACUCCAGAACCUACAUGAGCUACAAGUUUUCCUUGAGAUGACAGAAUGGUGCUGUGGAUCAUGGAUUAUGGAGAAAUUGCAAAGCCCCUGCAUGAAGCCCAAAAGACACAGCUGUUUACCUGGGGCAAACCACAGAAGGAGGCCUUCCUCAAACUAAAGGAGGAUUGACAACUGCUCCGGUGUUAAGACUGCCUGAUUCAUCCAAGGAUUUUCACCUGUUUGUGCAUGAAAGACUGCACCUAGCACUGGGAGUGCUGAUCCAAUGUUUGGGAAGCUGGAAAAAGCUGGUAGGCUGCUUUUCCAAACAAUUUGACAACAUGAGUGCUGGAUGGCCUUCAUGCCUGCGGGCAGUUGCAGCCACUGUGAUGCUGAUACAAGAAGCUAGGAAACUCAUGAUGAGUAGACACAUAAAUGUCUACAUGCCACAUAUGAUAACCACUGUUUUAGAACAACAGGGGGGCCAUUGGCUAUCUCCAAGCAGGAGGAUGAAAUUUGAGGUAAUCCUGACUGGGCAGGAUGAUGUCACACUAAAGACAACUAACCUCUUGAAUCCAGCUUUUUUCCUAGGUACCACAAUUGAAGAAGGCCCAUUAGAGCACGACUGUGUAGAAGUAAUAGAGUACACCUAUUCAGCAAGAGAAGACCUGAAAGACAUCCCACUGGAGCAACCAGAGUGAGAGCUAUCUACAGUUGGAAACAGCAUCGUGGAGAACGGGACCAGAUACACUGGAUAUGCGGCAACAGCAGUCAGUACAAUAGUGGAGGCAAAAGCAUUAUCACCAAAUACAUCUGCCCAGAGGGCAGAACUGGUUGCCUUAAUCAGAACACUAGAAUUGAGUAAAGGGAAAUCAAAAAGCAGACUGGACAGCCCGACAGAUUGCUUGAGAAGUGCAAACAACAAUGGCAUUGAUACCUUUAAAAGUUAAUGUAUCUCAAUUUAAUUUGCCUCCAAAACCAAAAUAUUCAAUAGAAGAUGAGAAACUGGGACAUUUGCUAAAUGCACAAAAAGAUUUCAGGAGAGUGGUAUGUAACUGCACAAAGACAAACAGUGUUAACCCCCUUCAUAAUAAGAGAAGUUCUACAAAUUAAACAUAACAAAUGUCAUUGGGGUGCAGAGGCUUUGGUAAAAUUGCUAAAGCAAAAAUUAAUCUCGGUAUGGAUGCUAACAAUGGUAAAAUCAACUCAGCAGCUAGACACAGGCACAGCUAGGAAGGAUUAAGAUAGGAAUAGAAUCAAGAUAACACUUGUCAAGAACCUUCUAGUAGAGUGAAAUUUGGGUGGGCCCAAAGCAGAUAGCAAACUAUCAGAAUAGAGAAACUGGUCAGGUAGAUAGACUAGCAAGAGUCACCCAAGAAAGAUUUAAAGAACUAAACGUA